rnacentral:tRNA from 1 species
GUUAUUGUAGCUUACCAUCAAAGCAUGGCACUGAAGUUGCCAAGAUGGAUGACUAACACAUCCCAAAAACA